rnacentral:rRNA from 1 species
CCUACGGGUGGCAGCAGUGAGGAAUAUUGGUCAAUGGACGAGAGUCUGAACCAGCCAAGUAGCGUGAAGGAUGACUGCCCUAUGGGUUGUAAACUUCUUUUAUAUGGGAAUAAAACGUUCCACGUGUGGGAUUUUGUAUGUACCAUAUGAAUAAGGAUCGGCUAACUCCGUGCCAGCAGCCGCGGUAAUACGGAGGAUCCGAGCGUUAUCCGGAUUUAUUGGGUUUAAAGGGAGCGUCGGUGGAUUGUUAAGUCAGUUGUGAAAGUUUGCGGCUCAACCGUAAAAUUGCAGUUGAAACUGGCAGUCUUGAGUACAGUAGAGGUGGGCGGAAUUCGUGGUGUAGCGGUGAAAUGCUUAGAUAUCACGAAGAACUCCGAUUGCGAAGGCAGUUCACUGGACUGCAACUGACACUGAGGCUCGAAAGUGUGGGUAUCAAACAGGAUUAGAUACCCCAGUAGUC